rnacentral:rRNA from 1 species
UACGUAGGGGGCAAGCGUUGUCCGGAAUUAUUGGGCGUAAAGAGCGCGUAGGCGGUCCGAUAAGUCGGCUGUGAAAGUCAGGGGCUCAACCCUUGAAAGCCGGCCGAUACUGUCGGACUAGAGUCCGGAAGAGGCAAGUGGAAUUCCCGGUGUAGCGGUGAAAUGCGCAGAUAUCAGGAGGAACACCGGUGGUGAAGGCGGAUCUCUGGGCCAUUACUGACGCUGAGGCACGAAAGCGUGGGGAGCAAACAGG